rnacentral:rRNA from 1 species
AGGACGAACGCUGGCGGCGCGCUUAACACAUGCAAGUCGAACGGUGAACGGGGCUUCGGCCCUGGAAUCAGUGGCGAACGGGUGCGUAACACGUGGGCAACCUGCCCCAGACACUGGGAUAACUCCGGGAAACCAGGGCUAAUACCGGAUACUCCGCUUGGAUCGCAUGGUCCGAUCGGGAAAGCUUUUGCGGUCUGGGAUGGGCCCGCGGCCUAUCAGCUUGUUGGUGAGGUAACGGCUCACCAAGGCGACGACGGGUAGCUGGUCUGAGAGGACGACCAGCCACACUGGGACUGAGAUACGGCCCAGACUCCUACGGGUGGCAGCAGUCGAGAAUUUUUGACAAUGGGGGAAACCCUGAUCGAGCGACGCCGCGUGGAGGAUGAAGGUCUUCGGAUUGUAAACUCCUGUCAUUUGGGAACAAGUCGCUUACGUUAACUGCGUGAGCGUUGAUAGUACCAGAAGAGGAAGGGACGGCCAACUCUGUGCCAGCAGCCGC